AACAAACGCUGGCGGCGUGCCUAAUACAUGCAAGUCGAACGGGGUAGCAAUACCUAGUGGCGCACGGGUGAGGAACGCGUGGAUAAUCUGCCUUAGAGUGGGGGAUAACUAGUCGAAAGAUUAGCUAAUACCGCAUAAGACCACAGGAGCUGCGGCUCUAGGGGUCAAAGGUUUUUCGCUCUAAGAUGAGUCCGCGUAAGAUUAGCUAGUUGGUGAGGUAACGGCUCACCAAGGCGACGAUCUUUAACUGGUCUGAGAGGAUGAUCAGUCACACUGGAACUGAGACACGGUCCAGACUCCUACGGGAGGCAGCAGUAGGGAAUAUUGCACAAUGGAGGAAACUCUGAUGCAGCGACGCCGCGUGAGUGAUGAAGGCCUUCGGGUCGUAAAGCGCUGUCGCAGGGGAAUAACACAAUGAAUGUACCCUGUAAGAAAGGAUCGGCUAACUUCGUGCCAGCCGCCGCAGUAAAAC
rnacentral:rRNA from 1 species